UAGAUAGAAGUUCGCUGGAUUGAACACUUAGCUGUUAAUUAAGUUUUUACAGGAUCGAGGCCUGUCUAUCUAG
rnacentral:tRNA from 1 species